rnacentral:piRNA from 1 species
UACCAAGAUCCACAGAAGGUGAGGAGGGC